GACUUUGCAAAGAUGCUUGCGGUCUCCAUGGUUAACCCAAACUUAUUCUUUCUCAGACAUUGUUCACAAGAAAACAAAGCUUGCUCCUCUACAGGAAAGGAGAAUGAUUGAUCGCUUUCGCAUAUGGGCCAAAGGAGGUGAUGGUGGCAGCGGUUGUACCAGUAUUCGUCGUAGUCGACAUGAUCGCCGUGGCACACCUGACGAUGUGGGAUGUACCCAGACUUGGAGAAGUCCACUACCUUUACCACCAUUGAGGGUGUUGCUCCCAUGAACAACUUUGUGGAAUCAGGAGAGAAAGCAGCAGAAGGAGGAAAU